UGUGGGAGCGGGCUUGCCCGCGAUGCAAGCGACUCGGUAUGACUGACAGACCGAGGUGCUGCUAUCGCGAGCAAGCCCGCUCCCACA
rnacentral:misc_RNA from 1 species